rnacentral:ncRNA from 1 species
CAUAAACACAAAGGUUUGGUCCUGGCCUUUCUAUUAGCCCCUAGUAGGAUUACACAUGCAAGCAUCAACACUCCAGUGAAAAUGCCCUUUAAAUCACCACAGAUAAAAAGGAGCGGGUAUCAAGCACACUAAAAGUAGCUCACGACACCUUGCAAAGCCACACCCCCACGGGAUACAGCAGUGACAAAACUUAAGCCAUAAACGAAAGUUUGACUAAGCCAUACUAGAACAGGGUUGGUAAAUUUCGUGCCAGCCACCGCGGUCAUACGAUUAACCCAAGUUAAUAGAUACACGGCGUAAAGAGUGUUAAAGAACAUCACCCAUAAUAAAGUUAAAUCUAUAGCCACGCCGUAGAAAGCCUCGGCUAAGACAAAAAUAAACCACGAAAGUGACUUUAAGCAACCCGACCACACUAUAGCUGAGACACAAACUGGGAUUAGAUACCCCACUAUGCUCAGCCCUAAACCCCAGUAGUUUAAAUAACAAUACUACUCGCCAGAGUACUACUAGCAACAGCCUAAAACUCAAAGGACUUGGCGGUGCUUUAUAUCCCUCUAGAGGAGCCUGUUCUGUAAUCGAUAAACCCCGAUAAACCUCACCAACUUUUGCUAAUGCAGCCUAUAUACCGCCAUCCUCAGCAAACCCUAAAAAGGAUACAUAGUAAGCACAAACAUAUAAACAUAAAAACGUUAGGUCAAGGUGUAGCCCAUGAGUUGGGAAGAAAUGGGCUACAUUUUCUACUAUAGAAUAUCAACGAAAACUUUCAUGAAAUCUGAAAAUAGAAGGUGGAUUUAGUAGUAAAUUAAGAAUAGAGAGCUUAAUUGAAUAAGGCCAUGAAGCACGCACACACCGCCCGUCACCCUCCUCAAGUGCUAAGAUACUAUCAACUAAUCCUAUUAAUAAAUGUACACACACAUGAGAGGAGACAAGUCGUAACAAGGUAAGCGUACUGGAAAGUGCGCUUGGAUAAAC